UGAGAUUUAUUGCAGUAAGGGUCGUAAUCCCAUGAUUAACAUUAGUUCACGCAGUUACCAAAUUCUGGUAUACAACACCACCCUUAAGUCUCUCACUCUUGCUCCUAUGGAUAAUUCCGAUAGUGUGCUUUGUCUCCGGCGCCUUGUCAAUACUCAACACCUCUUUGAAUCUCCCCCCUUUCCGCGCUGCUUGGAAUACACGGAACAUAUCGCUCUUUUACGACUGCCCCGCCGUUGCGAAUCAGUAUGAAGGGCUUGCUAAUCAUCAGUUCAAUUGCAGCAUGAAUGGAACUGAUACUUUAGGCUACUUCGUGGUCACAUCUUUCUUUUCUAACCUCUCGGUUGCAGCAAAUGAUGCCUUGAGAUCAUGUUACAGUAAAGUUCUCGUCCCAGCAUUCGCUUGAUAUUACAGGUUUUGGAGCACAGUCCAAGUCAAGAUACUCUGAAUGUCACACUUGAUAAUGGCUUUGCCGUGCAAUGGGAAGAAAACAAUCCCAUCUCAGGGUCAUCAGAUGGCUUCAGUUCAACAUUUAAGUUAGCCGUAGGCAUGGGAGUGGCUGGAGUUGUUGUUUUGGUAGUCGCGUGAUGGCGGUAACUUUCCGAAUUAAGAAAGAAUCAUUGUCAAGAGGAGUGCUAUUGAAGUUACAACGAGGGAAAGGAAGUAAUGGGAAAGG